rnacentral:rRNA from 1 species
GUAGGUGGCAAGCGUUGUCCGGAAUUAUUGGGCGUAAAGCGCGCGCAGGCGGUCCUUUAAGUCUGAUGUGAAAGCCCACGGCUCAACCGUGGAGGGUCAUUGGAAACUGGGGGACUUGAGUACAGAAGAGGAAAGCGGAAUUCCAAGUGUAGCGGUGAAAUGCGUAGAGAUUUGGAGGAACACCAGUGGCGAAGGCGGCUUUCUGGUCUGUAACUGACGCUGAGGCGCGAAAGCGUGGGGAGCAAACAGGAUUAGAUACCCUGGUAGUCCACGCCGUAAACGAUGAGUGCUAAGUGUUAGGGGGGGUUUCCCGCCCCCCUUAGUGCUGCAGCUAACGCAUUAAGCACUCCGCCUGGGGAGUACGGCCGCAAGGCUG